rnacentral:rRNA from 1 species
UACGUAGGGUGCGAGCGUUAAUCGGAAUUACUGGGCGUAAAGCGUGCGCAGGCGGUGAUGUAAGACAGUUGUGAAAUCCCCGGGCUUAACCUGGGAACUGCAUCUGUGACUGCAUCGCUGGAGUGCGGCAGAGGGGGAUGGAAUUCCGCGUGUAGCAGUGAAAUGCGUAGAUAUGCGGAGGAACACCGAUGGCGAAGGCAAUCCCCUGGGCCUGCACUGACGCUCAUGCACGAAAGCGUGGGGAGCAAACAGG